rnacentral:sRNA from 1 species
AUGUACCACGCGCACACUGCGGUUCUGCGUGCGCUGUCCGCACCCACUGGCGACUGCUUGCUACGUUUUGUUAGCC